AACGAACGCUGGCGGCAUGCCUAACACAUGCAAGUCGAACGAUACCUUCGGUUCUAGUGGCGCACGGGUGCGUAACGCUUGGUAACCUGCCCUUAGGUUCGGAAUAACUCCCCGAAAGGGGUGCUAAUACCUGAUAAUGUCUUCGGACCAAAGAUUUAUCGCCUUUGGAUGGGCCCGCGUUGGAUUAGCUAGUUGGUAGUGUAAAAGCCUACCAAGGCGACGAUCCAUAGCUGGUCUGAGAGGAUGAUCAGCCACACUGGGACUGAGACACGGCCCAGACUCCUACGGGAGGCAGCAGUGGGGGAUAAUGGAAAAUGGGCGAAAGCCUGAUCCAGCAAUGCCGCGUGAGUGAUGAAGGCCUUAGGGUUGUAAAGCUCUUUUACCCGGGAUGAUAAUGACAGUACCGGGAGAAUAAGCUCCGGCUAACUCCGUG
rnacentral:rRNA from 1 species